GGAGAGAUGGCUGAGUGGUUGAUAGCUCCGG
rnacentral:tRNA from 1 species